rnacentral:rRNA from 1 species
ACGUACACUCCUACGGGAGGCAGCAGUGGGGAAUAUUGGACAAUGGGCGCAAGCCUGAUCCAGCCAUGCCGCGUGAGUGAUGAAGGCCCUAGGGUUGUAAAGCUCUUUCACCGGUGAAGAUAAUGACGGUAACCGGAGAAGAAGCCCCGGCUAACUUCGUGCCAGCAGCCGCGGUAAUACGAAGGGGGCUAGCGUUGUUCGGAUUUACUGGGCGUAAAGCGCACGUAGGCGGACUAUUAAGUCAGGGGUGAAAUCCCGGGGCUCAACCCCGGAACUGCCUUUGAUACUGGUAGUCUUGAGUUCGAGAGAGGUGAGUGGAAUUCCGAGUGUAGGGGUGAAAUUCGUAGAUAUUCGGAGGAACACCAGUGGCGAAGGCGGCUCACUGGCUCGAUACUGACGCUGAGGUGCGAAAGCGUGGGGAGCAAACAGGAUUAGAUACCCCAGUAGUCCCAUGAU